UUGUAUUUCUUCCAGUGGUGUAAAAGCUUUAAUACGUUUAGCAAUUUGACUAUUUUUCGUAUAAGUUACCAAUAAAUAAGAAGCUUCGUCUAUCAUACAAGUCACUUGCAUAUAAAUGAACUCUUUCCCAAUGGCACUCUUUAGCUAUAAGAAGUAUAUGGUUGAGUUUGAUGAAUUUGUGACGCUAUUAUACAUUGUCUUUGAUAGAUAUGAUCUGACUUUCUCAAUUGCUCACACUCUAAUCCAAAGUGUUGGGCCCGGGCAAGCCCGGGCUGAUCCCAUAUAGAAGCCGGUUGGAAGUAUGUCAGGGUCGUCAUGCCUGCUUCCCAAGGGCUACUUUAGUCUUUUCGUAAAUUUUGCUAACAGCUAACACGCGUAGGGUAACUUUGACGGGUGGUGCGAUUUAGGGGCUCUCACUGCCAGCGACUAAUCCCUCCCUCUGUUCAUCCUCUUUCUUUCUCUGCUUCAUCUUCAGUUUCUUUCUAUCUCACAGCGAUUAAUCUGCUUCCGUUUCCCUCUGCUCAUCCUCUUUCUGCCUCUGCUUCAUCUUCAGAUUUUGUUGUCACUUUUGACGCCAUCGGUUAAUCGAAGGUCUUUGCUUAGGAAACUUGGUUCACUGACUUUCUUGCCAAUGUUUUAUCACCAAUACAGCAUCAAACAUUUUCGGAAUAGCCGAGGAAACAGUUACGGAGAUUUUAAGGUAAUGUUUGAUACUAGAAACAACCUGUGUUUCGGCUUCUACAGCCUUAGCAAAGUUCAACAAUUCAAUAUUAUCCUCUUACAAUAUCUGCUUGCAAGUCUUGAACUUUUUUAUUUGUUUUCCCAUCCUUGAUAAGAGUUCUUGCCCCAACUUUUCUACCAAGAAUGUUUGAUGGGGUUGAAACAAAUGUUGUUAUUAUGAAAAGGGUGAUGAGAAGGGAAAUGAGUUUUGUGGAUUUCGUUGUAUUUUGAUGAUUGAAAUUUUACGAAUGUUUGGGAGAAGAAGGGGAAUAGUGUUCAUGCUAAGUCUAAGAAAGAAAUGAAAUAAGAAAUAAACACAAUAAGUGUAAGGAAUCACCAAUUGUUUGCUAGAUCACAAGUUUUUUUCUUUGCCUGCUUUGCUUUCAGUUAGCCAGCCUGUUAUGUGUAUGCCAGCUUUGCUUUUAGUUAGCUAGCCUGCUAUUGCUUCCUCUUUGUCAGUAUUUAUUGAGAAAUAUUAGUUGGUUCUGGAAUAAAGCACUGGAAGAUCUUUCUUCGGUUUGUAAAUGAAAAUUUUGAUUACAUCUUCUACUGAUUGAGUUGCUACACUUCUAACAAAACUCAUGUGGUCGCUAAAAUUGCAAAAGUGUGCGGGAUAGAUUUCCAAAGAAAAACCUUAUUUGAUUUUUUUGAACUUUGGGUAUCGAGGUAUCGGAAGGUAAAACUUUGGAUAUCGAGGCAUCGAAAGGUAAGCACCACAAUAUAAUAUUCUUCUCAAAUGGCUACAGGUGUCUUUGUUUGUGCCCAAGUGAGUAAGUUAUCGAUUCCCACAACGUGUUUGGUUUUUCUCCUUCUUGUGAUAUCAACUGUGCUGGUGAGCUUUGUCCAGUUAUUGAUAUUAAAAGUUGUCACUCUCAUAUAUGAGUUGGUACAAGAGUUCUACUGUUUUUAAUCAUUAUAAAAUUCACCGCCAGUAAACAAACAACACUGUAACCAUACUAAGAGAUAGUUGCUUUCCAAAUAUUUUCUUGCUUUGGAAUUUUUAACUGAAGAAAGGAAAACCCAACUGAUCAAGUGUGAAACUUGUGCAGGACUUUCAGAUAAUUAACUUCCAAAGCAUUCAUUCAUUUGUUUAUGUCUUCAUUUUGAUCUGCCUGUAGUAGGGGUUUGUUGCAGCAUGAUGGACUUGUUAUCCAGUCUGUGAUAUUGAAAUUAAGAAGUAACUUUAAGAGUGACAUUGGAAGUGUGAUUGUGAAAUUCUCAUGUUAUCUUAUUUAAAAAGACACCAUCUUUAAGGGAGUCUCGCAGUGAUAGUAGAAUUUGAAAAAUAACUUUUCAAUACAUGUCCAUCAAGGAGGAGGAGGAGGGGGAGGAGGGGGAGGGGGAGAAGGAGAAGAGAAAAAAGGGGGGAACUAGUAGUACUAAAUACUAACAACAUGAAAUACGAUAACAGAAGUGAACUAAAUCACAUGGAGAAGUGACGAUCUACUUAAGAAUAUGCAGGAACCUGAGUGCUACUAAAGUAAUUGGUAAGAAAAGGAGAAACUUACAACUACGUACUAACCUUCUACCCUAAUCCUCGACCUCCAUACAUUUCUAUCAAGGGUCAUGUCCUCAGUAAGAUAGAGUCGCGUCAUAUCAUGCCUAAUCACCUCUCCUCAAUACUUCCUUGGUUUAUCUCGACCUCUUCUCACACCCGCCAUGGCCCGCCUCUCACAUCUCCUAACAGGAGCAUCAAUGAUUCUCCUCUUUACGUACCCGAACCAUCUCAGUCUCGACUCCCGCAUCUUGUCCCCCAUGAAAGUCACUCCCACGUUGUCCUGGAUAGCUUCAUUCCUAACCUUAUCUCUCCUGGUAUACCCACUCAUCCAUCUCAAUAUCCUCAUUUUUGCUACUUUCAUCUUCUCCAUAUGUGCGUUCUUAAUUGGCCAACACUCCGCCCUAUAUAGAAUAGUUGGUCGGACCACCAAUUGUAAAAUUUACCUUUAAGUCUUGGCGGUACAUUCCUAUCACAUAAGACGUCGAAUGUAAGACUCCAUUUCAUCCAUCCCGCUCAAAUACGAUGUAUGACAUCCUCGUCAAUCCCCCCGUUAUCCUAGAAAAUAGACGCAAUAUACUUGAAAUUAGCUUUCUUGGGGGAUAACUUGAGUAUCAAGCUUCACAUCCACGUGUGACUCAUGAGCCCCGUCACUGAAUUUGCACUCUAAGUAUUUUGUUUUGAAGGAGAAUAAGCUAUAUUCCAAGUUUUCAAAACGUGAAUUCUGAUUGCAGUCAGUAGCAUUCUUAGGCCACGUGAUAUCUAGUGAAGGCAUAAAAGUAAACCGUUAUAAGAUAGAAGCAGUCAUGGACUGGCCAAGGCCGACAACACCAACCGAAAUCAUGAGUGUCUUGGGGUUAGCUGGCUACUAUAGAAGGUUUGUAGAGGUAUUUUCUUCACUUACAACUCCAUUAACUAAGUUGACUCAAAAAGCAAUUAAGUUCCAGUGGUUAGACACUUGUGAACUGAGUUUUCAAGAGUUAAAAAAGAGGUUGACCGAUGCACCUGUGUUAACUUUGCCGACAGGUUUGAGUGGGUUCACAUUGUACUGUGAUGCCUCCAGAGUUGGUCUUGGUUGUGUUCUUAUGCACUACGAAAAAAUUAUUGCUUAUGCUUCCAAGCAGUUAAAGAAUCAUGAGAAGAACUACCUCACACACGACUUGGAGCUUGCAGUAGUGGUGUUUGCAUUAAAGAUAUGGGGACACUACCUAUAUGGCGAGCAUUGUGAAGUGUUUACAGAUUACAAAAGUCUCAAGUAUAUUUUCAAGCAGAAAGAGUGAAAUUUGAGAUAGAGAAGGUGGCUUGAGUUAUUGAAGGAUUAUGAUUUCAAUAUCGUUUAUCGUUCGGGUAAAGUUAAUGUGGUAGUAGAUGCACUUAGUAGCAAGUCAAUGGGUCUGUUGGCCCAUCAUGAUUGUCUUUUUUUAUGAGUUUUGUGAGUGAUGAAGACUAAGCUUACAGAAAAAAUGGAUAUUCUAAGGUGUGUAUUCUAUGUCUAUAUCGACUGACUCUUUUUAGAAGAGAAGGAAUCCUUUAUUUGCAAACAAAAUCAAGGAAUUAUUAGCCAUAGUUGUCCAUUCAGAUAUUCCUCUAUGUUUUCUUCAGCCCUUUUAACUUUGCAUUUUACCCCUUUCAACCUAAUUUUCCUUGUCUUUUUGCAUUUUAAUCCUCUCUACUCUAUUCUAGAAGUUUUCUAUUCAGCUACAAAGAUUCCCCGUGUAUAAUCCCUUAUCUAUCCCUCAUGCCAUGUAUUUUAAACUUAUUUCCAGACAUAGAGUGGAAUGUUAUAAGGAAAAAGGCUUAACGCCUUAUACGAAACAGAACAACAAUGAAGCAGACUUUGAAGGAGCAAGAAACAGAGGCUCCCAGCGAAAUACUCAAAUAGGAAACGAAAAGUUUUAGGUUUCUUUACAAAUCACUAGUUCUUGAACUCAGACAUAUAAUAUUUUCUAUUGUCAAUAAUCCUACAGUAGUAGGUAAGAAUUGGAUAGUUAAUUCUCUUCUUUCUCUAUAUCAACACUAAAUUCAAUAUUUAGGUGUGAAACUUUGAAAUUUAAUUAAAAUGCACUAGUUAUUAUAGAAUUGAUUAUUUGGCGGGUAUAUAUUGGACUGGAGCCCACGUAUUGGCUCGAAAAAUUUUGAGAUGAUGUAUUCAUGCCUGUUCGAAACGCGAAUCAUAGUAUUCAUUCUUAUGGGAAUGGGAAUGAAAAACAAGAGAUACUUUUUCUCGAAAUAUGGACAAACGGAAGUUUAACUCCGAAAGAAGCACUUCAUGAAGCAUCCUGAAAUUUAAUUGAUUUAUUUAUUCCCUUUUUACAUAUUGAGGAAGACAACUGAUGAUAGGCUAUAAUUACAUAUUUUAGUCGAUUACACUCUAAUUUACUACACUUUAGUUGAGUUUGCGCUUGAAUUGCUAGUAUUUUGCACUAACAGUGUGUUUUAUGCCUUGUAGGAGUGAUUCCGAGCUAUAUAGAUGUUAUGGAAUGAAUUUAAGUGGUUUGGAGCUUUGAAGUCUGAGUAAGAGCUCAAGGAAUUAAGCCGGGAUCGCGUUCGGGGAUCAACGGAUGAUAAAACAACAAAACGAAAACUCGAAGAGGCAUAUUGCGCACUGUCUAGUAAAAUAGACCUAACAUUUUGCUCAGAACUCCAUUUGGGCUCCAUAAUAUAUGGUUGGAAAGAUAACUCAAAGGGCUACAACUUUUGUUUUACGUUUUUCCAAAUUCCAAACGGAACAGGAUGAAAAACCGCGGUUUCACCGCGACCGCGGCAGAACUGCGGCAGAGUGCAGACGCAGACAAUUGAAGAAUCAGAGGCCAUGUUUGGCUGCGGUUUGACCGCGACCGCGGUAGAACCGCGGCAGGAGGCGGAAAUUUCAGGGACUAACGGGAUUUUUAGCCCAAAACCCUAUAUUAAACCAAGGAAGCCGGCAAAGAAAGGAUUUGGACAUAUUUUUGACAUAGGUUUGACCUAUGGAGGCAGAGACACAAUAGGAGCAAGGCUUGGGAAUUCUUCUACAAGUUUUUUUCUUUCCUCUUCCUAUUUUUCAUUGUUGGUUAUGACUUUUAGUAUUGUAGUUUUACAUACUAUUAUGAAUAGCUAAUUUGUUAUCUAGAGUUUUGAUAGAACCUUUUGUAGGAUAAAUCUUGUUAUGUUUUUAUAUAAUUGAGCUGUAGUAUAAUCUCUAUUUGUUCAACUACGUUCUUAUUGUAGUUAAUUGAAGAG
rnacentral:lncRNA from 1 species